GAUGAACGCUGGCGGCGUGCCUAAUACAUGCAAGUCGAGCGAACGGACGAGAAGCUUGCUUCUCUGAUGUUAGCGGCGGACGGGUGAGUAACACGUGGAUAACCUAUCUAUAAGACUGGGAUAACUUCGGGAAACCGGUGCUAAUACCGGAUAAUAUUUUGAAACGCAUGAUUCAAAAGUGACAGACGGUCUUGCUGUCACUUAUAGAUGGAUUCGCGCUGCAUUAGCUAGUUGGUAAGGUAACGGCUUACCAAGGCAACGAUGCAUAGCCGACCUGAGAGGGUGAUCAGCCACACUGGAACUGAGACACGGUCCAGACUCCUACGGGAGGCAGCAGUGGGGAAUCUUGCGCAAUGGGCGAAAGCCUGACGGAGCAACGCCGCGUGAGUGAUGAAGGUCUUCGGGUCGUAAAACUCUGUUAUUAGGGAAGAACAUAUGUGUAAGUAACUGUGCACAGCUUGACGGUACCGAAUCAGAAAGCCACGGCUAACUACGUG
rnacentral:rRNA from 1 species